AUUGAACGCUGGCGGCAGGCCUAACACAUGCAAGUCGAGCGGAGCGGCGGACGGGUGAGUAAUGCCUAGGAAUCAGCCUGGUAGUGGGGGAUAACGUCCGGAAACGGGCGCUAAUACCGCAUACUAGCAGAUGAGCCUAGGUCGGAUGAGCUAGUGGGUGGGGAAAAGGCCUACCAAGGCGACGAUCCGUAACUGGUCUGAAAGGAUGAUCAGUCACACUGGAACUGAGAAACGGUCAAAACUCCAACGGGGGGCAGCAGUGGGGAAUAUUGGACAAUGGGCGAAAGCCGAAUCCAGCCAUGCCGCGUGUGUGAAGAAGGUCUUCGGAUUGUAAAGCACUUUAAGUUGGGAGGCGUUACCAACAGACUAAGCACCGGCUAACUUCGUGCCAGCAGCCGCGGUAAUUC
rnacentral:rRNA from 1 species